rnacentral:rRNA from 1 species
CAAUAGCGUAUAUUUAAGUUGCUGCAUUUAAAAAGCUCGUAGUUGGAUUUCGGGUGGGAAUGGCCGGUCCGCCGUUUCGGUGUGCACUUGCUACGCCCACCUUGCUGCCGGGGACGUGCUCUUGAGUUCACGCUCGGGACACGGAGUCGGCGAGGUUACUUUGAGUAAAUUAGAGUGUUCAAAGCAGGCCUACGCUCUGAAUACAUUAGCAUGGAAUAACACGAUAGGACUCUGGCCUAUCUUGUUGGUCUGUAGGACCGGAGUAAUGAUUAAGAGGGACAGUCGGGGGCAUUCGUAUUUCAUUGUCAGAGGUGAAAUUCUUGGAUUUAUGAAAGACGAACUACUGCGAAAGCAUUUGCCAAGGAUGUUUUCAUUAA